CGGCUGAAGGGCGCCCCGCGGCAGAAGACCUUCUACUACUGGAUGGCGCUGAAGCAACCGGCGUGGGUAGGGCCAGAGGGUUAGUUAGUCAUUAACUGGAGCGGUCGCCUUUGAAAGGAUUAAUGGUCGUCUUUUGCGGGCAGAGGAUUAGGGGUUGGGGUGAUAAAAGAGGGAAGGUUUGGGAUCUCGAGGCUGCCCCGUGACUAGGCCGUCGGGAUCUCUUCUAAUACGGAGUCCUCCCGAGGCUAGACUACCGAGGAAGUGGCAGCAGAAGCGGCCGCCUACCCCGUACGGAGUACGCUGACACACCACCCACCAACACCAACAGGCUCUACUCCUCCGCUGCCGUCUCCAGCUCCUCUUCCUCUCCAUGCAGGCACGAUCCAUCGCAUACUUACAACUAGCGGCCUUACGGGUGCGGCUGCCUGCGGUGGCGUGAGUGGCCGUCCCAGUUGGGGAGGCAAAUGAGGUAGCGACGGUACGAGACACAGAAAAGCACGGGCUGAUACGUCCAGCGGUGGUGGUGUUAGUGGCAGGGUCAUCUACCUGCUUCUGACUGUCUAGACCCCGCUACCUACCUCUUCGACCUGCAGGUACCACUGUUGUUGUGGCCAAGGGUACGUCCUCACUUUUCGUCCACUAUUCCCGGCCGCCAACGACUCUCACCACCCUUAGUGUUGUUGCGGCAGCUCCAACUCCUUGAUCCUCUCGUUCUGUGCCGAUCCGUUAGCUACACUCCAGUUCCCUGUGAAUGUCAAACGUGGUUCGGUACUCCCUCAAGGUGUCGCGAGGACCGUAGGUUAAACCGAACGAGAAUACAUACUUAAGAAUCAUAAAAAUGGAGAAAUUGAUUGUCUUGGCGCGAUACAAACAACCCUUACAUGUAACACCCGUGUGGUUAAG
rnacentral:rRNA from 1 species